AGCAUUCUGAAUUCAUGCAGAGAUUUCGUCAAACACCAACCCAUUGGCACUGAUCAGACUUCCAAGAUAAGUGAAGUU
rfam:Schistosoma margrebowiei strain Zambia genome assembly, scaffold: SMRZ_scaffold0002582